CUGCCUCCUUUAUUUUUGGCAUGUGAAAGGAAGAGUCCUUCUUAAAGAAGGCUCUUAAUUUUUAUGCGUUGCCAUAAUUUCCCAAUCAGAUCUUCUAUGUUUUGAUGCCAAAAUUAAUUAGAUUUUUUAUGACACAUAGGGAAGGAAGAGUCCUUUUGUUGUAAGUAUCUAGAAUGCUAAAAAUUCACUCGAUAAAUUUAUUUAGUGCAUGGGA
rnacentral:lncRNA from 1 species